AUAUCAAUAAGCGGAGGAAAAGAAACCAACAGGGAUUGCCCUAGUAACGGCGAGUGAAGCGGCAACAACUCAAAUUUGAAAUCUGGCCCUUGGGUCCGAGUUGUAAUUUGUAGAGGAUGCUUUUGGCACGGUACCUUCCGAGUUCCCUGGAACGGGACGCCAUAGAGGGUGAGAGCCCCGUCUGGUUGGAUGCCUAGCCUCUGUAAAGCUCCUUCGACGAGUCGAGUAGUUUGGGAAUGCUGCUCUAAAUGGGAGGUAUAUGUCUUCUAAAGCUAAAUACCGGCCAGAGACCGAUAGCGCACAAGUAGAGUGAUCGAAAGAUGAAAAGCACUUUGAAAAGAGGGUUAAAUAGUAC
rnacentral:rRNA from 1 species